rnacentral:rRNA from 1 species
UACGUAGGUGACAAGCGUUGUCCGGAUUUACUGGGCGUAAAGAGCGCGCAGGCGGUCGAUCAAGUCGAGUGUGAAAGCCCCCGGCUCAACUGGGGAGGGUCAUUCGAUACUGAUCGACUCGAAGGCAGGAGAGGGUAGUGGAAUUCCCGGUGUAGUGGUGAAAUGCGUAGAUAUCUGGAGGAACACCGGUGGCGAAGGCGGCAUCCUGGACCAUUACUGACGCUGAGGAGCGAAAGCCAGGGGAGCAAACGGG